GACCUGGUGGUGAAAUGUAUCAUACCCACUCUGCCUAUGCAAAGCUUGAUGCCUUUGCGGGAGGUCCCCGGUUCGAAUCCGGGCCAGGUCA